UACGAAGGGGGGCUAGCGUUGCUCGGAAUUACUGGGCGUAAAGGGCGCGUAGGCGGAUAGUUUAGUCAGAGGUGAAAGCCCAGGGCUCAACCUUGGAACUGCCUUUGAUACUGGCUAUCUUGAGUUCGGGAGAGGUGAGCGGAAUGCCGAGUGUAGAGGUGAAAUUCGUAGAUAUUCGGCGGAACACCGGUGGCGAAGGCGGCUCACUGGCCCGAUACUGACGCUGAGGCGCGAAAGCGUGGGGAGCAAACAGG
rnacentral:rRNA from 1 species